CCUACGGGGGGCAGCAGUGAGGAAUAUUGGUCAAUGGCCGGAAGGCUGAACCAGCCAAGCCGCGUGAGGGAGGAAGGCGCAGAGCGUCGCAGACCUCUUUUGCCGGGGGACAAAAGGCCGGACGGGUCCGGUUCUGAGGGUACCCGGAGAAAAAGCAUCGGCUAACUCCGUGCCAGCAGCCGCGGUAAUCAGGAGGAUGCGAGCGUUAUCCGGAUUCAUUGGGUUAAAAGGGUGCGCAGGCGGGGCUUUAAGCCGGCGGUGAAAUCGCGGGGCUCAACCCCGCCGGGCCGACGGAACUGGGGGCCUUGAGUGCGGCGGAGGCAUGCGGAAUGCGCGGUGUAGCGGUGAAAUGCAUAGAUAUCGCGCAGAACCCCGAUUGCGAAGGCAGCGUGCCGUGCCGCCACUGACGCUGAGGCACGAAAGCGCGGGGAUCGAACAGGAUUAGAUACCCGGGUAGUC
rnacentral:rRNA from 1 species